rnacentral:tRNA from 1 species
GAUAUAGCUCAGUUGGUUAGAGCAUGGUGCUGAUAAUGCCAUGGUUGCAGGUUCGAUUCCCGUAUGGGACA